AAAUUCAUGGUUUCUCACCAGGGAGAUCUGCAGCAGUUGGAAACUCACAUGGUGUGUGGGGGCAAAAUGGUGCUGCGUGCUUGCAGACUGAGGAGCGGGUAAGACUGGUGAAGUCAUCUCACCCCAUCCCUUGGGAAGAGUUCUCUUUGAUGUUGUGGUUUCUAGAAGUUCUCCUAGGGCAUUUUCAUCUGUCCCAGCUGAGCAGGUUCCACUUUCCCUGAGGAGCUGUCAUGCCAGCAGAAGGCAUCUGCUCACCCGGUACCUUCAGGCUGAAAUGGAGGAACAUGCACAGGAGUGAUUCCCUUGUUCUGGUGGUAAGAACAACGGAGCAUAAGUGGUUUUGUUCUCCACCUACAUUACAGGUCUCAGAAGAACAGAGACCAGCUGUAUUCUUGUUCUGGCAAUGAAAGUGAGAUGAACUAGAGCAAAAGAAGGACAGAAAGGGGAUUGCUGCCUUCUCCUGCAUGUUUUCAGAUCUGCAGUCAGCUCAGCCUGUGACCCAAGGCAAUGUGUGAGACCAUUCCGUUGCGGCAAAUAGUCCAUGUUUGCCAAUCUUUAGAAGUUCCCACAAAGCCCAUUGCCGAGAAAAGAGGUAUGCUGGCUGGCUGCCUAGGUAUUUGUACUGUUUCUGGGUUACUGUGCAUUUGCAGCGGCAUUAUGGGAGCAGUUAAUUACAAUAAUUUGUUUGUCUAAAACCUCUUCUAUAUGCCUAGAUCUAAACAUAGGAGUUUCAUAAGUCAUCAAAACUAAAUAACUCAAGAACAAACAAACAUGAAUUAUAAUUGAGUUUUGAGUCUUCCAGCACUCCCAGGUCACCCUGGGACUUGCCAGUCUUGCCAGUACUUUAACUUGUUCAGCAGCUUUUGUGAGUAACCAACUGGCCGUUGGUGGGGAAGCACUUCUGUGUUUGCUGUUCAGAAUGAGCUGCUCAGGUAGGCUGCGUGUGUGUGGCAGACUGAAUGCAUCACCUUCAGAGGCACAGAAAAGAGGAUCAGGCAUCUGUAAAUGCUGAAAUCUUGAACACCUUCAUAUCAAGCCCAAGCUUUGGAAUACAUUAAAUGUUUUCUAUACCAGCCAAGCACCACUAUAGGGCAGAUUGGAAAUCAAGGACUCGGACAUAUUAGUCUCUCAGCCCUUACUGACCUCUAACAAUCCCUUCUCUUAGUAUUUUCUUUGGCGAAUAAUGGGAAUUUCACAACGCAUAGAAAAAGCCAAAUUCAGUCUGUACAGAUUCGGUUUGACAGUAUCCCUUAAAAAAUCACUAAGAAAAAACGUGGAAUGGCAGUGUUGUCAUAUGGCUUUUCAGAUUAAAACUCUAGAUGAUCAAGAGUGGCUGCUCAUUUUUCAGGACCAAAAGUCAGUAA